rnacentral:rRNA from 1 species
UACGUAGGGGGCAAGCGUUGUCCGGAAUUAUUGGGCGUAAAGCGCGUGUAGGCGGCUUUGCAAGUCGGGUGUGAAAUCCCUCAGCUCAACUGAGGAAGUGCGCCCGAAACUGCAGAGCUUGAGUACCGGAGAGGAUGGUGGAAUUCCCCAAGUAGAGGUGAAAUUCGUAGAUAUGGGGAGGAACACCGGUGGCGAAGGCGACCAUCUGGACGGAUACUGACGCUGAGACGCGAAAGCGUGGGUAGCAAACAGG